rnacentral:rRNA from 1 species
UCCAGCCAUGCCGCGUGUGUGAAGAAGGCCUUUUGGUUGUAAAGCACUUUAAGCGAGGAGGAGGCUACUUGGAUUAAUACUCUAGGAUAGUGGACGUUACUCGCAGAAUAAGCACCGGCUAACUCUGUGCCAGCAGCCGCGGUAAUACAGAGGGUGCGAGCGUUAAUCGGAUUUACUGGGCGUAAAGCGUGCGUAGGCGGCUUCUUAAGUCGGAUGUGAAAUCCCUGAGCUUAACUUAGGAAUUGCAUUCGAUACUGGGAAGCUAGAGUAUGGGAGAGGAUGGUAGAAUUCCAGGUGUAGCGGUGAAAUGCGUAGAGAUCUGGAGGAAUACCGAUGGCGAAGGCAGCCAUCUGGCCUAAUACUGACGCUGAGGUACGAAAGCAUGGGGAGCAAACAGGAUUAGAUACCCUGGUAGUCCAUGCCGUAAACGAUGUCUACUAGCCGUUGGGGCCUUUGAGGCUUUAGUGGCGCAGCUAACGCGAUAAGUAGACCGCCUGGGGAGUACGGUCGCAAGACUAAAACUCAAAUGAAUUGACGGGGGCCCGCACAAGCGGUGGAGCAUGUGGUUUAAUUCGAUGCAACGCGAAGAACCUUACCUGGUCUUGACAUAGUAAGAACUUUCCAGAGAUGGAUUGGUGCCUUCGGGAACUUACAUACAGGUGCUGCAUGGCUGUCGUCAGCUCGUGUCGUGAGAUGUUGGGUUAAGUCCCGCAAACGAGCGCAACCCUUUUCCUUAUUGACCAGCGGGUUAAGCCGGGAACUUUAAGGAUACUGCCAGUGACAAACUGGAGGAAGGCGGGGACGACGUCAAGUCAUCAUGGCCCUUUACGACCAGGGGCUAC